rnacentral:tRNA from 1 species
GGGAAGGUAGCUCAGUGGUAGAGUACUUGCCUUGCAUGCAUGAGGACCUGGGUUCGAGUCCCACCACCA